GUUUGCUUCAGCAGUACAUAUGCUAAAAUGGGAACGAUACAGAGAAGAUUAGCAUUGGCCCCUGUGCAAGGAUGACAUGCAAAUUAGUGAAGUGUUCCAUAUUUAA
rfam:Pan troglodytes isolate Yerkes chimp pedigree #C0471 (Clint) chromosome 1, whole genome shotgun sequence.